rnacentral:rRNA from 1 species
AGGACGAACGUUGGCGGCGUGCCUUACACAUGCAAGUCGUACGCGAAAGGGGAAUCCAGCUUGCUGGGGACCCCCGGUAGAGUGGCGAACGGGAGCGUAACACGUGAGAAACCUGCCUCGGAGUGGGGAAUAACCCAGAGAAAUCUGAGCUAAUUCCGCAUGCCGCAGCAGCCCCGCAUGGGGCCGUUGUGAAAGACCGCCUCUGCUUGCAAGCGGUCGCUUCGAGAUGGUCUCGCGGCCUAUCAGCUAGUUGGUGAGGUAAUGGCUCACCAAGGCGACGACGGGUA